CUGAUGUGGAUGAUAUCUGUUUGAAAGCAUUCAACAGCAAGAAACAAGAGCUUCGAUGUCUGUCAUGAAUAUGUUCCUGAGCAAGGGAGGGAACUUUUUGAGUUGGUUGCUCAUUUGCCCGAUAAAGCAAUAAUUAUUUAACUCCGGCUUUGUCUGUUUUGGAAAAGAACACUUGAUUAUCAUGCAAGGAUAACAUGUUAUUACCCUCUGAGAAACAACACCCAGUUGGAACUGCGUAAACAAGAGGAUGCAAGUCCCGUUAUCUCUUUCGAAGUCUGCAACAAAACAUUCAUGUUCUCUUUUGCCCGUACGAUGUUUGUCCUAUAGAUUAUGCAUAGUUUUUCUUUCCUGCAAAUCCAUAUGUUAUCUGAUAUAGAAAUGUGUAUAUGUAUGUAUGGUGGAUAGCAUAUAGCGUAUAUGGACAAAAGCUCUAGAUGGAGUCACUCGAUUUUUCGUAUUUAUGGUUCACUGUGAUGUAAAACAUCAUGAAAUGUUACAUGAUUCAAAUUGAACAGCUUUUUGACAUUUUUUUUU